rnacentral:rRNA from 1 species
UACGUAGGGUGCGAGCGUUAAUCGGAAUUACUGGGCGUAAAGCGUGCGCAGGCGGUUCGUUGUGUCGGCGGUGAAAGCCCCGGGCUCAACCUGGGAAUGGCCGUUGAAACUGGCGAACUGGAGUGUGGCAGAGGGGGGUGGAAUUCCGCGUGUAGCAGUGAAAUGCGCAGAUAUCAGGAGGAACACCGGUGGCGAAGGCGGGUCUCUGGGCAACUACUGACGCUGAGGAGCGAAAGCGUGGGGAGCGAACAGG